rnacentral:rRNA from 1 species
CUGCCGGUCUGCCGAUCGGUACGCACUGGCGGGCGCGUCCUUCCUUCCGGAGACCGCGCCUCCUCUUAACUGAGCGGGCGUGGGAGACGGAUCGUUUACUUUGAAAAAAUCAGAGUGUUUCAAGCAGGCAGCUCGCUCUUGCAUGGAUUAGCAUGGGAUAAUGAAAUAGGACUCUGGUGCUAUUUUGUUGGUUUCGAACACCGGAGUAAUGGUCAACAGGGACAGUCAGGGGCACUCGUAUUCCGCCGAGAGAGGUGAAAUUCUCAGACCAGCGGAAGACGAACCACUGCGAAAGCAUUUGCCAGGGAUGUUUUCACUGAUCAAGAACGAAAGUUAGGGGAUCGAAGACGAUCAGAUACCGUCGUAGUCUUAACCAUAAACCAUGCCGACUAGGGAUUGGAGGCUGUUCCUUUAGUGACUCCUUCAGCACCUUUCGGGAAACUAAAGUCUUUGGGUUCCGGGGGGAGUAUGGUCGCAAGGCUGAAACUUAAAGGAAUUGACGGAAGGGCACCACCAGGAGUGGAGCCUGCGGCUUAAUUUGACUCAACACGGGGAAACUUACCAGGUCCAGACAUUGUGAGGAUUGACAGAUUGAGAGCUCUUUCUUGAUUCGAUGGGUGGUGGUGCAUGGCCGUUCUUAGUUGGUGGAGUGAUUUGUCUGGUUAAUUCCGUUAACGAACGAAACCGCAGCCUGCUAAAUAGUUCCGCGAACACUCCGUUGGCGGCCGACUUCUUAGAGGGACAACUUGUCUU